rnacentral:misc_RNA from 1 species
AACAAGCAAGCAAACUAGCUAAAGCUCUCUUCUUCAAUUUCACUCUUUCAUCGCCAAUCAUCAGUCAUGGCCGGACUAGCAGCAGAAGGAUCCCAAUUUGAUGCAAAACAAUAUGAUGCCAAAAUGAACGAAUUACUCACAACUGAAGGAGAGGAUUUUUUCACAUCAUACGAUGAAGUUUAUGAUAGUUUUGAUUCUAUGGGUUUGCAAGAGAAUCUUCUAAGGGGCAUCUAUGCAUAUGGUUUUGAGAAGCCCUCAGCAAUCCAGCAGAGAGGAAUUGUUCCCUUCUGCAAGGGACUUGAUGUGAUUCAACAGGCUCAAUCUGGAACAGGGAAAACUGCAACUUUCUGUUCUGGUAUUCUCCAACAACUUGAUUAUGCUUUGGUGGAAUGCCAGGCCUUGGUCCUGGCACCCACUCGGGAGCUUGCACAACAGAUUGAAAAGGUUAUGCGAGCACUUGGGGAUUAUCUCGGUGUCAAGGUGCAUGCUUGUGUUGGUGGAACCAGUGUCCGUGAAGAUCAACGCAUCCUAUCAAGUGGAGUGCAUGUUGUUGUUGGCACUCCUGGUCGUGUAUUUGACAUGCUGCGAAGACAGUCACUUCGUCCUGAUUACAUCAGGAUGUUUGUGUUGGAUGAGGCGGAUGAAAUGCUCUCACGUGGUUUCAAGGAUCAGAUCUAUGAUAUUUUUCAGCUUCUGCCAUCAAAAAUUCAAGUUGGUGUAUUCUCUGCCACAAUGCCACCUGAGGCUCUGGAGAUCACGAGGAAGUUUAUGAACAAACCUGUUAGAAUUCUUGUGAAGCGUGAUGAGCUCACCUUGGAGGGUAUAAAGCAGUUUCAUGUCAAUGUGGAGAAGGAAGAAUGGAAGCUUGAGACACUCUGUGAUCUUUAUGAAACCUUAGCCAUUACCCAAAGUGUUAUUUUUGUCAACACUAGACGCAAGGUUGAUUGGCUGACAGACAAGAUGCGGAGUAGAGACCACACAGUCUCUGCCACUCAUGGUGAUAUGGACCAGAACACAAGAGACAUCAUAAUGCGUGAAUUUCGAUCUGGGUCAUCUCGUGUUCUAAUCACCACUGAUCUUUUGGCUCGUGGCAUUGAUGUCCAGCAAGUGUCCCUUGUUAUAAAUUAUGAUCUCCCUACACAGCCAGAGAACUAUCUCCAUCGAAUUGGACGUGGUGGACGGUUUGGGAGGAAAGGUGUCGCAAUCAAUUUUGUGACGAGGGAUGAUGAGAGGAUGCUGUUUGACAUCCAGAGGUUCUAUAAUGUGGUGAUUGAGGAGCUGCCAUCAAAUGUUGCUGAUCUCCUCUAAUGAGAUUUUGUCAUCCAUUAUUAGUAGAGAUAAAUUCCUGGAAUUUGUUGUGUUUUUUUUUUUUUCAGUCUUAUAUAGGUCUAGUGUCUUCUUUUAAAAAUUUGACUGCUGACCAGCAAGUGAUAUUUAAUUCUAAAAUUCUUCAAUUCAGCAAUGCUACAUACGGCAUUGUGGAUUUUUGUUGCAUAUGUUCUGGUAAAACACCCAUCAUAGAGGAUCUCCAUUACCAGAACAUAUGCAACAAAAAUCCA